CGGAUGUACCCAAGUGGAUCAGGGCAGU
rnacentral:tRNA from 2 species